AAGUCGAGCGAAUGGAUUAAGAGCUUGCUCUUAUGAAGUUAGCGGCGGACGGGUGAGUAACACGUGGGUAACCUGCCCAUAAGACUGGGAUAACUCCGGGAAACCGGGGCUAAUACCGGAUAACAUUUUGAACCGCAUGGUUCGAAAUUGAAAGGCGGCUUCGGCUGUCACUUAUGGAUGGACCCGCGUCGCAUUAGCUAGUUGGUGAGGUAACGGCUCACCAAGGCAACGAUGCGUAGCCGACCUGAGAGGGUGAUCGGCCACACUGGGACGG
rnacentral:rRNA from 1 species